AGCGAACGCUGGCGGCAGGCUUAACACAUGCAAGUCGAACGGGCAUAGCAAUAUGUCAGUGGCAGACGGGUGGGUAACGCGUGGGAACGUACCUUUUGGUUCGGAACAACACAGGCAAACUUGUUCUAAUACCGGAUAAGCCCUUACGGGGAAAGAUUUAUCGCCGAAGGAUCGGCCCGCGUCUGAUUCGCUAGUUGGUAGGGUAAUGGCCUACCAAGGCGACGAUCAGUAGCUGGUCUGAGAGGAUGAUCAGCCACAUUGGGACUGAGACACGGCCCAAACUCCUACGGGAGGCAGCAGUGGGGAAUAUUGGAAAAUGGGCGAAAGCCUGAUCCAGCCAUGCCGGGUGAGUGAUGAAGGCCCGAGGGUUGUAAAGCUCUUUUGUGCGGGAAGAUAAUGACGGUACCGAAAGAAUAAGCCCCGGCUAACUUCGUG
rnacentral:rRNA from 1 species